AUGGAUGAUGCCGGCAUGGUGUUCCUUCUCGAUCCUGUUUACAGGCCAUCCUUUGCCAGGUUCCCACUGCGAGAGGAGUUGGCCGACAGCCAUGAGCACCUACAUCCGGUUUCUCUGGUCUUGCUGGCGAACAGCAGUGCCGGAGUUGCCGUUCCUGAGAACUCAAGUGCUGGUUCUGGCUGCGGUCAGCAGGUUGGCGACGACGGCACUAAUACGGCACAAGCUGGAGUGCGCCGUCGCCCGGAUACAUCCCCGACGAGGUCGGGCAGAGUCUAUCACUCUAUCCACAGGCCCCUGGGUGGAGAAAAAGGGCGGAGCUGUGAGGAGAACAAAUUUGGCGAUAGAGCGGCAUGCAAGUAA
rnacentral:rRNA from 1 species